rnacentral:lncRNA from 1 species
ACGACUGCAUGGGGCAAGUUGAUUGGUAAGGUUUCAGUUUGACAGAUCAGUUGAUGUUAAAACGGGGCAUGCAUGCAAAAGCUUGACAGCCAGUACAUAUGCUUCUUUUACUCAACGUCUAACCAUGCUUAGCUGCAAUCCACCACGAUAACUUAUUUAAAUAGGAGCACACCAAGUUUCCAGCUCAUCGAGAUCCUGAGUCCUGAUGCUACUCCUUAAACAUUGGUGAUUCAGCCUGCACAACUAGAUGCGAUUUGCAUCAUGGCAGAGAGAUGCAUGGGGAUUAGGUCAAAAGAAGGGAAAAAUGCUGCUACUAGAUCUUAGACAUCCUCCUUUCUCUGUAGAACUGUGAUAUACUCCUUGCAUACUAAUACUAGUAGACCGUGCGGCGAAAACACAAUUCGUUUCAUAAACAUGUCGGUGUUAGGUUAGUCGAUUAGGUAGCGCACGGAAACUAAACCAUACUGCGAGCUGUAGUGGUACAAGUACAACAUGUCCACUUAUUUAAGACAAGAUAAGGGGCACGAUAAGGGGCACGAUAAAACAUUUCAUGAUGCAGCUCAUCGGGCUAUUUUUAAGGAUAACCUCGAGUGUCAACGGCCAUCGAAUUUGGACGCCAAUCCCUAGCAAACGUUCGCUGGGGGCAAAGCAUUUACGAACAGCCCCAUGGCAGUUCUGUGUGUACGGGGUGACGCUGGAUUGGCUUUUUUUAACAUAGUAUAAAUGUAAACGUUCAUAUAUAUAUUUUUAUAAGUAUCUCUGAGAGACUGAAUCGACAAAAGUGUUUUCCUCUCUCCACUCGCGGCUGGAACCAUAGCCACCGCCAGGAGAGGACAAUCUUCCAGGACUGUCCUACGACGACUUUCCUCCGCCGACUACCCCGAUCGCCGGUGGUGAGGAUGGUCGCCGGAUCCACGUGUGUGGAUCGUUUUAAGUUUUUGUGGUCUAGGUUUUUAGAUUGUUCAUCGUCUUGGCUUCGACAGCGGCGAUGACUACGCUGAAUAAUGAUUAUUCGGAUCCUUCCCUGAUGAGGCCAUCGGCCCUAUGGUUGGGAAUGGAUUUAGAAACCAGUCUGUUCAAGCAAGGAUGAGUGACGACGGCGGCAUCAUCGUGGUGGACCUGUGUCCUCGGGCUCCGCCGUUGCGACGGUGUUUGCUCCAGCGUCGGCGCGGAGCUUGGGAGGUAGUCCAGGAGCGGAUGUAGAUUGUGGUCUGCAUCAACGACACCUGGAAGACGGAACGUGUGUUGGGUUUGUGGUCCGUGGAUGGCAGGUAUGGUUUCCUACUUCGGCGUCUUAGUCGUGAUGGGGUGUCAGAUCUGGAGUUUGAUGGCGUGUCCGGGGUGUUGCCCUAGUCUAAUUCAUUCAACGGCAAGGGCUUCACUUUUGAUGAGCCACCUUGAAGGUCCGUAAAGUUGCAUAUCAGCGUGGAGCCGCGUCGAGCUCGGGUGAGAAGGUUAUUCGAUGGCUCCUGUGGUGGUGGCGGAGGCAGGUGACGGAUGUUGAUGUCAGACUCAGAGAUGUUUUUCUAUCUUUUCAGUUUUGCCAUGUCGAUUUUUAUAUGACUUGUAGUUUGAUUUUUAUGAUAUGAAUGAGGCACAUAUUACCAAGCAAAAAAAAAGACUGAAUCGACAUAUCAUUUUAAGAUUUAUGAAGUCAUCAUAGGUGUCUCAUCGUCGACGAAAAUCUUUCCUCUCACUGAAUACACAUCACCAAAAUUAUAAAAUAAAUCCAAAAAUAAUGCAAGCACCAGAACUUUAAACCCUAGUAAGCUAAAAGUAUCAUUGUUUCUCUAACCAUUCAAUUAGAGGUUGGUUCGUCAUGACAAUUUGUUUAAUUGCCCUCGAGGGUGUGGGGUAAGAUCUCGGGGUGUUCGUCAGGAUCCGGCUCCUGACGAAAGUUCGCCAGAUAGCAUUUCCCCUGAAUAUUUUGCAAACGUUUAGGUGACACGGGCAGGGCAAGAACACAAGUGGAAUUCUCAUGAAACCAAGACAGAAGCUGCAUGGCAGCAAUAUUCCGUGUCGGGCUGCUGCACUGCCCCUGGCCAGUCAAUCAGUCCUACGUACGUACUAGAUUAAGCAGCAGAAAUGCAGAAACAACAGAGACGCAUCAGCAUCAGAGACUGGAAAGGAGGAGAUUGAAAACGAGACAUCAAUGAAAAAGAGAGAGAGAGAAAUGAGACAGAGUGGCUAAACAAACAAAUCUGCAGUGGUGCCAAGUGCCAACAAAGGCAAAGCCGAGCCCUGAAAGCUGCCUUCCCAUCCAUCCAUCCAUCCGCGCGCUUUCUUUUCUUUUAAAGCGCCUCUUCUCCCUCCUCCUCCUCCCCUUCCCCUAAAGCUACCGGCCGGCCGCCCGCUGCUGUGCUGCGUGCGGGAGCAAUGAAGAGGAUCAAGGCGGCGCGCGGGGGAGCAGCGGCGACGGCGCCGACCGACCUGCUCGUCUGCUUCCCCGGGCGGCAGCACCUGGCGCUGAUGCCCAAGUCGAUGUGCAGCCCGUCCAGGGCGACCCUGGACAAGGCGGUGGCCGCGCGCCGGAGACAGCUGCAGCUCCCGGCCGCGCCCUCCACGCGGCACGGGGGAGGAGGGCGCGGUAGCGCUGGUAGCCCGCUGUUCCGCGGCUCUAAGUCUAAGGCGAAGCAGGCCGUCGAGGACGACGAGCCGCAGUCGCCCAAGGUGACUUGCGCCGGGCAGAUCAAGGUCGCCCGGCCAAAGAAGCCUAGGCCGGUGGUGGAGAAGAACGGUAAGGGCGUCGACGGCGGCACUGCUGCGGGGAGGUGGGUCACCGUCGCGGAGGAGAUCGAGCGGCUUCAGGGGCGGAGGAAGAAGGCGAGCUGGCUAGAGGCCGUCGGGAUCAGGAGGGACGCGCUGCCCUUCCUCGGCGGCGCGCUCUGGAGCCUUCGGCACAAGGUGAGGUGCUUCGGGUCGUCGCUCCCCGCCGCGGUGGACUCGUUGGCGGACGACGACGACGACGACGAUGCGGGGGAGCACGAACGCGAAUCCUCCGCCGUCGGAGGCACAGGCAGCGCCGCCGCGAGCGUCUUCUCCAAGUGGCUCAUGGUGUUGGAAAGGAGCCACGACGAACCCCACGAGCAAGACGCCGGAGACGACAAUGACGACGACGGGCUAGAUCAAGAAGUCGGGCGGCCGAGCAAUGAGGCGGGAGACGACUGCUCCAAAGCGCCGUCCGUGCCGCCGCCGCCGAACGCGCUGCUCCUAAUGCGGUGCCGGUCGGCGCCGGCGAAGGGCCUGGCGAGGAAAGGAGCAGAAGCGGGCAGCGAGGAGGCCACGCGGGAGAAGGAGGGCGUGGAGGAGAAGAGGGACGAGCUGGUGUUCAUGAGAACGGCGCCGGACUUCUUGAAGCUGUCCAUCGACAUCGCCAAGGAGACGUGGGUCGUCGGCGGCGUGGACCCCCUCGCGCGCAGCCGGAGCUGGAAGAGGUGACCUGACCUGACCUCUGGUCGCGGUAGGUAGCCGUUGUACAGAGCUCUACAUGUUCGUACGUACUAAUACCUUUCUUGUGCUUCGUCGGUUCCAAUGUUUAUUACUAUUCGCUUUGCAAAAUAGUAUAAAUUGGAGGAGCUACAGAAAAUGUUGUACGUACGUAGAAUGUUUCUCCCCGAUUCAAUGUCGAC